CUUCAUCUUCGACCCGUCUCCACAGUCUUCGGCUUGCCCUACCUGAUUCCACUCGCCGUCAGGUAGGUUUCUCUCCAAUUAAAUCAGUCUUCUGAAAUUGUUCAACGUCUCGCUGCCUCCGCUCGCUGUCAUCUCCUCCGGAUCCCUUUUCCAAUUAAUUUGGAUGCAUGAAGAUGAAUUCAACCGUCGAAACGUUCCAACGUCCGACCGUUCAGUGGCCCUCUCUACUUCAGCGAACUUGUGAAUCUUGACACCAUUUUGGCUUCAAAUUUAGACAAAUAUUCAUGAAACGAGCAUUGGAUCUUCACUGUGUCUGCUACUAGCUCAACAUAGGAGGAGACCGAUAACUAUUUUCCAGGAUUUCGAUUACUUUCAGAAAGAUAGAUAAGACAAAACAUGCAACCACAUAACUUCAAGCUUGAUUCAGAUUUUCAAAAUAUAUAUAAAGUCUUUUUAUUUUAGUGAUGCUUCUGAAUCAUACCAUACAAAUAAAAGGAUGAUCUUAUAGGAUGACAAUAUAUGAUCAUUUUUUCUUUUUAUAAUA